rnacentral:lncRNA from 1 species
AAUCAAAUAAAGGCAUACCUUUUAGAAACCUUACAAAUAUAUGUAUUUUAUAAGAUCUUCAUUAUUUAAAACUCAGAGAUUCUUUGCCAUGCAUGUCUAAAUCACUUUCUUUAUUUCAAUAAAGAGAAGGGAUAAAGAAUGCAUUAUUAUAUUUCAACAUAUUCUUUAUUAUAACAUUACAAUAAUCUCUUGAAUCCCAUCUAUCAUGUUGCUUUGUUGUAGCUUGUCAUCAUGGAGUCUAUAAAAUUAGAGCAUUACCAUAAUAUAUAGUCUAGAUCUCUCAAAGUAUCAAAAUUCACUUUUUUUUUUUUUUUAAGACCAAAUAAUAACACAAUAAUAACUAAAUUUAUAUGAAUGAACCCCUCUAAUUAUGUCUUAACAUGUAAGAGUACUGGGAAUACAAGCUUUAAUUUAAUAUUUUCAUCAAAUAAAAUCUUAAAUCAACUAAUAUUAAUUUUGAACGGCACAUUAGCAAGUAGAAAGAUAAUUCAUUACCUUAUCCGAUUAAAAUUUCCAAUAAAAUGCGUUGACUAAUCUUUUUUGCCAACGAUGACGGUGCAUGGCUCUCAUCAUUAGGGUUGAAAUAAUUAAUGCUGAAUUAUAAGUAAUAUUAUAAGCCAAAAUGUUAGCUCAAACCCCGACCAAAUUAACCCUAAUUUAAUUGAUUUGAUGGUGAACAUUUGUGCGUGGCCAACAACGAUCCACCAUUGUGGAAGGUGUCGUUCCAUAAUUUAACACCACGCAAUGUGAUUUUUAAAAUUCCCAAAACAAAAUUGCGAUUCUAAUAGAAAAGCCGACGAAAUUUUUGACCCCAUAGAAAUGAAUAUGAAGUUUUAAAGAUGAUAAAGGCUCAUUAUAGCGAUUAGAUGAUGACUUUUCUACUCUUUUAUUAAUGAGUUUCUUUUGUUCCAAUAACAACAACGCUUUCGUCUGUUAUAGGAAAGAAAUUCUACAACUUGGAUCUCUUGUAAAUUUCUAAUAUAGGCAACUUUAUUAUCAAAUACUAAAUUAAAAUUAAACAUAU